rnacentral:rRNA from 1 species
UACGGGGGGGGCAAGCGUUGUUCGGAAUUACUGGGCGUAAAGGGCGCGUAGGCGGUUCGCUAAGUUGGAUGUGAAAACUCUGGGCUCAACCCAGAGCCUGCAUCCAAAACUGGCGGGCUAGAGUUCUGGAGGGGAUAGCGGAAUUCCUGGUGUAGCGGUGAAAUGCGUAGAUAUCAGGAGGAACACCGGUGGCGAAGGCGGGUCUCUAGGCAGUAACUGACGCUGAGGAGCGAAAGCGUGGGGAGCGAACAGG